rnacentral:rRNA from 1 species
AAAACAACAAUUCAAUAUUAAUAACCCCAAAUACACGACAUUCCCAAUAAACAAAUCAUUUUCCCCCCCUAGUAUGGGCGACAGAAAAGGAACUAUUGGAGCAAUAGAAAAAGUACCGCAAGGGAAAGCUGAAAG